UCGAACAAUAUGAACAUGGCUACUCAGAAGGAGAUUCUGAAGAGGAUUGUCACCCCCGAACAACUCAAUCAUCGCCAAACCAACCAGUAACUUCCUUCCCAGCCCCACAGUGUGAAAAGUCCAUGUCUGAACCCAACCUAACAGAAUCAGUGCUUGCAUUGCAACCUGGUAAAAUGUCUCAGUCUGUUCAGACCCUUUUCCCAUAUGCUCCCACACUCUCUGCAACACAGGGUGAACCUAAGAGACCUGCUACUGUUCCACAAUUGAGAAAUGAGUCCCCAAUCCAAGUACCAUCAGGUUCACUUCCAUCAGCCUCCCUAACUAAUGUGCCCUUCCAGCAAGCUUAUUCCAACCCUGAACCUCAAAGAUUCGUCCCCUCAGUGUCACGUCCGGGGCCUUUCAUACCCACAACUGCUAGUCUGCCCCCUACUGACCCUCCAUUUACCAGGUCAGUAAUCAACCCUCCUUUAACAUUAACAGCACAGCCUAUGCAAAUACCACUCAAUGUUAAUGUUACACAGCCAUCUUAUGGCCCUCAUAGCCAAAUACAAUCAACCCAGAGGCCUCCACUCCAGCCGUAUACCAUUCAUCCAACGCCCAUACCUCCACCUCAAGUCUCAACCUAUCCUCAGCCAUCUGCUCACCAUCCAAGUUCUGCAGCUCCAUAUCAGUAUCAACAUUUCCCUCAACCUGUGCAGCAGCUUCAUACCCAAUAUCUUGCACCUCAGCCAGCCCCAAUCACUGGUGCCCCACAAGCUCUAGGAGCCCCCCUCAACGCAAGCUACUCCGUACCUAUGGCCUCUGCACACCAAAUCCGAUACACUUCACGUGUUGAAGGUCCAUCCUUCCCUUAUUUCACCCAAAAUGACCCCCAGGAAUUCCUAAUGUUAAAGAUGGCCUUAAAAAACCUUCUUCCUGUAGAAGAACCUGAAUUAUUUAAGUUCCAUAUCCUUUUGGAUCAUCUUCACCUCCCUUCAGCUAGACAUAUUGCCCUGUCUUGUGCUCACCACCCAC